rnacentral:lncRNA from 1 species
ACCAACGGCAUGUAGCUAUGUCAGAGAAGCUUAAAUAGCAAGGAGCUCCUCGUGAAAUGUGAUCACAUCAAUGGAGUCUCUCUGUUCUCUCAAACAACGCCAUGUUAAUAGAUUCUUUGCUGUCUCCUUUAUCAUUUCAACAUAGCAACGAAUGAAAUGUGAUUUCAAAAUGUCAUUUGACUAAAGCCAUGCUGUGGUACCACCUUAAAGGAUGUUAGUCGAAUAAACCGACCUCAGGACUUAUUCUUUAUGGUUGACGUUUGAAGAUGAGAUUUGUCAUUUCAGAUGUUGGGUGACUGUGCAGAAGGUCACUUGUUGGCUCGCAAGGGUUAAAAGAAUUAAUCAUCAAGGUGAUUUUCGGAAGGUCAUUGGAUACUUGGUUCUUAUGGCUUACAAUUGAAACUACGUUCUGAGUUCAAAUUUC